rnacentral:rRNA from 1 species
AUUGAACGCUGGCGGCAGGCCUAACACAUGCAAGUCGAACGAGUGGCGGACGGGUGAGUAAUGUCUGGGAAACUGCCUGAUGGAGGGGGAUAACUACUGGAAACGGUAGCUAAUACCGCAUACCAUCGGAUGUGCCCAGAUGGGAGUAGCUAGUAGGUGGGGUAACGGCUCACCUAGGCGACGAUGCCUAGCUGGUAUGAGAGGAUGACCAGCCACACUGGAACUUAAACACGGUCCAGACCCCUCCGGGAGGCAGCAGUGGGGAAUAUUGCACGAUGGGCGAAAGCCUGAUGCAGCCAUGCUGCGUGUAUGAAGAAGGCCUUCGGGGUGUAAAGUACUUGCAGCGGGGAGGCGUUGCCCUCACAAGAAGCACCAGCUAACUCCGUGCCAGCAGCCGCGGUAAUAC